rnacentral:rRNA from 1 species
UACGGAGGGUGCGAGCGUUGUCCGGAAUCAUUGGGCGUAAAGGGCGCGUAGGUGGCGGGACAAGCGUGCGGUGAAAGCUCGGGGCUCAACCCCGCGUCGGCCGUGCGAACUGUUUUGCUUGAGCACUGUAGAGGCAGGCGGAAUUCCGGGUGUAGCGGUGGAAUGCGUAGAGAUCCGGAAGAACACCGGUGGCGAGGGCGGCCUGCUGGGCAGUAGCUGACACUGAGGCGCGACAGCGUGGGGAGCAAACAGG